AUGAAGGCUUUCCGGUCGUAAAGCNCUGUUGUAUGGGAAGAACAGCUAGAAUAGGAAAUGAUUUUAGUUUGACGGUACCAUACCAGAAAGGGACGGCUAAAUACGUGCCAGCAGCCGCGGUAAUACGUAUGUCCCGAGCGUUAUCCGGAUUUAUUGGGCGUAAAGCGAGCGCAGACGGUUUAUUAAGUCUGAUGUGAAAGCCCGGAGCUCAACUCCGGAAUUGCAUUGGAAACUGGUUAACUUGAGUGCAGUAGAGGUAAGUGGAACUCCAUGUGUAGCGGUGGAAUGCGUAGAUAUAUGGAAGAACACCAGUGGCGAAGGCGGCUUACUGGACUGCAACUGACGUUGAGGCUCGAAAGUGUGGGUAGCAAACAGGAUUAGAUACCCUGGUAGUCCACACCGUAAACGAUGAACACUAGGUGUUAGGAGGUUUCCGCCUCUUAGUGCCGAAGCUAACGCAUUAAGUGUUCCGCCUGGGGAGUACGACCGCAAGGUUGAAACUCAAAGGAAUUGACGGGGACCCGCACAAGCGGUGGAGCAUGUGGUUUAAUUCGAAGCAACGCGAAGAACCUUACCAGGUCUUGACAUCCUUUGAAGCUUUUAGAGAUAGAAGUGUUCUCUUCGGAGACAAAGUGACAGGUGGUGCAUGGUCGUCGUCAGCUCGUGUCGUGAGAUGUUGGGUUAAGUCCCGCAACGAGCGCAACCCUUAUUGUUAGUUGCCAGCAUUCAGAUGGGCACUCUAGCGAGACUGCCGGUGACAAACCGGAGGAAGGCGGGGACGACGUCAGAUCAUCAUGCCCCUUAUGACCUGGGCUACACACGUGCUACAAUGGCGUAUACAACGAGUUGCCAGCCCGCGAGGGUGAGCUAAUCUCUUAAAGUACGUCUCAGUUCGGAUUGUAGUCUGCAACUCGACUACAUGAAGUCGGAAUCGCUAGUAAUCGCGGAUCUGCACGCCGCGGUGAAUACGUUCCCGGGUCUUGUACACACC
rnacentral:rRNA from 1 species